UUGAACGCUGGCGGCAUGCCUUACACAUGCAAGUCGAACGGUAACAGGUCUUCGGAUGCUGACGAGUGGCGAACGGGUGAGUAAUACAUCGGAACGUGCCCAGACGUGGGGGAUAACGAGGCGAAAGCUUUGCUAAUACCGCAUACGAUCUAAGGAUGAAAGCAGGGGACCGCAAGGCCUUGUGCGUUUGGAGCGGCCGAUGGCAGAUUAGGUAGUUGGUGGGAUAAAAGCUUACCAAGCCGACGAUCUGUAGCUGGUCUGAGAGGACGACCAGCCACACUGGGACUGAGACACGGCCCAGACUCCUACGGGAGGCAGCAGUGGGGAAUUUUGGACAAUGGGCGAAAGCCUGAUCCAGCAAUGCCGCGUGCAGGAUGAAGGCCUUCGGGUUGUAAACUGCUUUUGUACGGAACGAAAAGGCUCUGGCUAAUACCUGGGGCACAUGACGGUACCGGAAGAAUAAGCACCGGCUAACUACGUG
rnacentral:rRNA from 1 species